rnacentral:lncRNA from 1 species
CUCUAAUAGUCUAUCUAAUGACUUGAUGUACAGACAGUCUCUGACUUACAAUUGUUUAACUUAGAGUUUUUGACUUUACAAGGGUGAGAAAGCAUGUGUAUUCAGUAGAACCCACACUUUAAAUUUUGAAUUUUGAUUUUUUUCCCUGGCUAGUGAUAUGCAAUGCAAGACUCCCAAGAUUCUGGGCAGUGGCAGGGAGGUGCAGCUUCUAGUCUGCCGCAUGAUCACAAUGAAAGCCUGACAGGUUUCUUCGGAAAAGUGGCCAUCCAUGGAAUGAAUGAAAUGUUCUCUUUCUAUUCCACCUCUAGAGACCAUCAAAAAACAAUGGCUCAUAAUGCUUUUAGAACAGAAACUGAAGUUGUAUACUGUGCAUAUGUAAUCCUACACAAGAGGAAGGCAAUGUUUAAAGCUGCUGUCACCUCUUAGGGAAAAAACUGGAAUUCUGAGUCAAGGGAUUGCAGUGGCAAAGCUAGGCUAGGUCUUGGAGGCUGGUGUAAGGCGAUGUGGGUGAAGGCAGGAGGCUGAUGGAAAGACUGGGGGGAAGAAAAGCCGAAAUGGAUUCACGGUGCCUUGGAUGAAGGACGAGAGGGGAACUGCAAGCUCCUUCAACUGGUUCUGUCCGGUGAGAAGUGAUCAAGCUUGGGCUGACAAGAGGCUCAGGGAGCCCUCACGUUCUUUCGCUUUUUUACCUGCCAAUCAAACUGCUACAAGACAACACCCUGAUCUGGCAUGGACAUCGCGGGUCCAAGCCUGUAGCCCCAAAUCGGAUAAUCUCUGCAGCUGAUAACAAGCAAAAGAGAAGCCAGGCAACAGCCAUAUUAAAGAAGAAAACAAUCAACUCUGAGUCAUUGCAGUCACCUGGAGUCACGGAAAUGACCAUGAUUGCCUGAACUUUCAUGACUUCUGUGGAUAACUGUGGUUGCAGAAAAGAGAAAACCUGGACCGUGAGGGACAUUUCACUCCCUGGGCUUUGGCCUCCCUACAGCGUUGGCUCAGCUCUAGCUACUUGGAAGGUCGUGGCAAUGCUGUCUCAGAAUGUCCGUUUCUAGAGUACAGAGAAGAAAUUCUAGCUUGACGUCCACGUGCAUUUGUCUGUGUUUCAGAGGAAAUUCCAAUUCUAAACUCUUGGAAGAAACAAUUUCUCGGCAUGCUGAAGAGAAUUGCUGUUUUUUGGCACCUGAAACACUUUUACCCAAGGGUUCUGAUUAUUUAAAUAAUUGGUAUGCUAUAAAUAUUCUGGUUGACAGAAAUGUGGUUUAAUGUAGAUGAGUUGUAAAAACAUGAGACAAACAUGCUCCAGGCUAAAAAUAUCUGGAUUAAAAAAGAAAAAGAAAAG